GCUUAAAUAUUGGGUCCGUGGAACUGCUUUCACUAAUAGGAGAAGGGGCUCCUGAACCAGUAAGAUUUGGGAUGGAGGGACUCACUAGCCUUGGCUUUUAGCCCACCUAGCAGAAGGAAAACUGAAUUGAAACAGACCUGGACAUCAGAGUAUCCGAAUAUUGUAAAUAUUGUUUAUAAAUCUGUGAUUCUUUCCACACUUUCGUAUGGCUCUGAGACCAAUGUGCUCUAUAGAAGCCAUUUAAGAUUCCUCAAACACAAUUCUAUAAAAUGUGUCUUCUCUACAAUGGACAUUCGCUGACAAGACUUACCAAAACAUGUUCUACUGGAAGCGGUAUGGACGGUGGAAAAUCACUAGUGACCAUUGGGUAGCUGCGCAGGGUCAGACACUCAACUUGCAUAUAGGACAACCGCAUGACGAUGUUUUUAGUUCACUUCAAGAAGGACAGCGUAACAAAGAUCUGCCCGGAAGUGCUAUAAUGAUCAACUCAGUCGCCAUUUAGCCCUCACUGGCAUAAAGGAAAAAAGC